UGGAGAAAAUACUGAAUCUGAUACUGACAGAAAUAAAGAACAAAAUUGUAUACAAAAAUUUUACCAUAAUUGUUUAUAAUAUCAAGCAAAUCUACAGAACAUAGGACAACUCUACAACAAGCAGGCUCCAGGCUCCAGGCUGGCAAGCUUGAAUAGUCUACACAUCAUAUAAACUUUUGACUGAAUAAAGAUUCAGAUGGAUCCAUGCUAUUUUACAGGAUUUAAGCUUUUAACAAUGAUACAAGUUCCCCAUCAUAGGGACAACAAACUAAAGACAACUACCCACCCACCAAGAGAAGAGUGCUGUGGAGAUCUCCAUCACCCACAAUAAGUCCCUGAAAUGCCUAAAUAAACUUGGGAUUCAUGUCAAAUAAAAACAAAACUCACUGGGACAUAGUACACAUUUGCAAGAGUCCAAGGCAAGACUAUCCCACCAUCUGUGUACCAUGGAAUGCUCCCAACAACUGGAGUUACCCACAACUGAGCUGCACUUGGUGCCAAUAACCAUUCAUUCUCAGAUACCCAACUCCUAAGCAAAUCAAUGCUGCAUCUGAUUACCACUAGGACAAUACUUAGUAAAAAUUAACAAAGGUGGGGAGUUCCUCAGUCUAUUACCAUUACUGGGUAGGAUACAGAUGGAGAAAUAGUACAAAAGACAGUUCAGUAUUUGGUACAGUAGAGAACACUAACCCUCACCUAUAGAAAGAGAUCAGCCAUCAAUACUUUCAAAGGAAUAAUUUCAUCACUGUAAUCAGUUUCAGGUCCCUUCAAUAAACCUUGCAUGUCACUAGGUCAUGGACCAUGCUUCUAUGAAAAGGCACAGAUCAAUGCAUCUUAUGAAAGAGCACAGAGUUGAUCAGGAAUGAAAAAAGAAAAACUUAACUGACUUUGGAAUCAAAUAUCUAAACUACAUCUCUGUAAAAAAGAUAGGGAGACUGAAAGAAAUUUAAUUGGAAAACAUUCUAUACAACAUGGACAACCAAGGUCAUGUGACCUUAACAUAAUUCCUCCUAUCAAAUCGUAAUCUAAAAGCUUAAACACCUGAUGCGUUGAGGCUCCUACACACAUUAUGAACAAAUGGUUCCCAGCCUUUUUUAGGAGAUUAGUACAAUGCCAUGUUAACCUUCACAUUAUCAUCCAAACAUCAAUUUAAAAAGCUAAAUACUUAUCAAGUGAAUUUACACAUGCUUCAACACUCAAAUGCAGAAUCCUGCACACAAACUUGACAUGCCUUUGACAACUUUUUUAUUGUCAUAUAAGAGAAAUAAUAAAUCACCACCUCAUUUCCUUCCCUCUUACGAGUAUGUUGCUUAGUGUUUUGAGAACAUGCUGCCAUACAUACAUAGCACAACACAAGUACAAAAAUUAAGAGUGAAACAUUGUGAAAACAAGGAAUAAAUAUGUUUCAUGUGACAGCAUAGGAAGUGAAGCACAAGAAGUACAAGUGGCUAGGUGUACAGGCCACACACCUACCUGGCUUGGUCUCAGGUUCAACACCCGGGCUUGGCGGGGCACGGCGGCCAUGCCUGCUGCUAAUGACCUGGCCUGUACCUGGUUGAUUCGGGCUUCAUCCUCAGCCGUCAAAAGCUUGUUGUUGAUAAUUCUGUGCCAUCACCAGGGAAUGGAACAGAAGGGAAGGGGAGGUGAAGAGAAAAAAGACAGUGGGUAAGGAUAUAAGAACUUCUGAAAAUAUGCAAUAAAGGGAGAAUGGAAAAAGGAAGAUGAAAAUGAAAUUUAGGAGAUUACAAGGAGGUUGGUGGGUUCCCCUUGUUACUAAUACUGUACAUACUGUAUAUGGAUGAAUAAAGCUACAAAAUAUC